rnacentral:rRNA from 1 species
AUUGAACGCUGGCGGCAUGCCUUACACAUGCAAGUCGAACGGCAGCACGGGGGCAAUCCUGGUGGCGAGUGGCGAACGGGUGAGUAAAGUAUCGGAACGUGCCCAGUCGUGGGGGAUAACGUAGCGAAAGUUACGCUAAUACCGCAUACGAUCUAUGGAUGAACGCGGGGGAUCGCACGACCUCGCGCGAUUGGAGCGGCCGAUAUCAGAUUAGGUAGUAGGUGGGGUAAAGGCUCACCAAGCCGACGAUCUGUAGCUGGUCUGAGAGGACGACCAGCCACACUGGGACUGAGACACGGCCCAGACUCCUACGGGAGGCAGCAGUGGGGAAUUUUGGACAAUGGGCGAAAGCCUGAUCCAGCCAUGCCGCGUGCAGGAUGAAGGCCUUCGGGUUGUAAACUGCUUUUGUACGGAACGAAAAGGUUUGGGCUAAUAAGCUGAGCUCAUGACGGUACCGUAAGAAUAAGCACCGGCUAACUACGUGCCAGCCGCCGCAGUAA